CGUCUCAGCUGGCGAGAUAGCUGCAGAGGCUGAAACUGCGCCGGAGGGAGGAAAUGAUUAUAGCAAAAGGGAAUGCGUUAUCACUUUGUCCCCCUUGCGCACACCCUCUCAACCAGUUCAAUGUUGUUCAUAUUGAGCUCCUUAUCUGUGCGAUGAGAAACGAAGCACAUUUCAGAACUUGGACGACAACGACUCGUGUCCUCCGCAUCGCCGAGCGCUUCCUGACUUCCCCUAUUCUGCAAGAAAUGAGCACCCGGAAAACCUGGAGUGGAGUCAGCAUUUUUGGCAAUCCCGCAC
ensembl:lncRNA